rnacentral:rRNA from 1 species
GAUUAGUGGCGAACGGGUGAGUAACACGUGAGUAACCUGCCCUGGACUCUGGGAUAACCCCGAGAAAUCGGAGCUAAUACCGGAUAGGACCUGGAACGGCAUCGUUUCGGGUGGAAAGUUUUUUCGGUUUGGGAUGGACUCGCGGCCUAUCAGCUUGUUGGUGAGGUAAUGGCUCACCAAGGCGUCGACGGGUAGCCGGCCUGAGAGGGUGACCGGCCACACUGGGACUGAGACACGGCCCAGACUCCUACGGGAGGCAGCAGUGGGGAAUAUUGCACAAUGGGCGAAAGCCUGAUGCAGCAACGCCGCGUGCGGGAUGACGGCCUUCGGGUUGUAAACCGCUUUUAGUAAGGAAGAAGGGGAGCUUGCUCCUUGACGGUACUUGCAGAAAAAGGACCGGCUAACUACGUGCCAGCAGCCGCGGUAAUACGUAGGGUCCGAGCGUUGUCCGGAAUUAUUGGGCGUAAAGAGCUCGUAGGCGGUUUGUCGCGUCUGCUGUGAAAACUAGAGGCUCAACCUCUAGCCUGCAGUGGGUACGGGCAGACUUGAGUGCGGUAGGGGAGAAUGGAAUUCCUGGUGUAGCGGUGGAAUGCGCAGAUAUCAGGAGGAACACCGAUGGCGAAGGCAGUUCUCUGGGCCGU